GGACUACUAGGGUAUCUAAUCCCGUUUGCUCCCCUAGCUUUCGCGCCACAGCGUCAGUUGCAGACCAGGAAGCCGCCUUCGCCACUGGUGUUCCUCCGGGUCUCUACGCAUUUCACCGCUACUCCCGGAGUUCCACUUCCCUCUCCUGCACUCAUGAGCCCGACCGUUACCGCUGACCUUCCCCAGUUGAGCCGGGGGCUUUCACAUGCGGUCGUACCGAGCCGCCUACGCGCUCUUUACGCCCAGUAAUUCCGGACAACGCUCGCCUCCUACGUAUUACCGCGGCUGCUGGCAC
rnacentral:rRNA from 1 species